UGCUGAGUAAUGGCCACUAAGGAAUGAAGUUCUGAGAACGGAAAUGUCUUGGGGGCGGGAGGGGGGGAUGACGUAUUGUUCAGUUCUCACCAGAAAGUAGUUACAAGUCACCUGGUUUAAUUCCCCCUCCCCCCUUCUUCUUUUCCUUUUCUGAAAGCUACUCAUAGGCAGCUGAAAUUAAGGCUUGAAGUUCCUAUUUGGCCACUCCUCCCAAACAAGCAGCAACCAUGUUGGCUAGUCUGUGACAUCACACCUGUGGUCUUUCUUUGAGGCCUGGUUAGGGAGCAUAGUUUCCUGUAAUAUUUGACCAAAAACAACUGUGAUUUUGAAAGAUUCCAAAAGAUUGAAAGGUAAUUUUCCAGUUUACAAGGAACUGUAGAAUAUCUGUUCUAUCAAGAAAAAGAUGCUUCUCCAAGAUAUCUGAAAGUGGAGCAUGUGCUGAGAAGGCAGCUGAGGUUGCGGCACUGUGGAUGGAAUUGGCUGCAAUUCCUCCUGGAACUGGAAGAUUAAGAGCCUUGUAGGUGCAGCGCCUGGUAGGAUAGAUACUUGUUCACACUUCUAGUCUUGAGAGGCAUCAGGCACUAGUGGAGGCUGAUUAGAUGUGAUCCUAUGCAGUGCACCCUUACUUGGAAAUAUAUUAUACUGACACCAAUGGGAAUUUCUUCCAAAUUACUGAGGUGUAAAGCUCACAGCCCUUGAGAGCCAAAGUUAUAGUCUGAUCUCAGAGGUAUUCCUGAAUCUGCUUUUUUCAUGAAGGCCGCUGAUAAAUAAAAAAUGCUAGUGAAGAGUAACAGCAUGGAGACAGGAAGAUGCAAGAUGCAGGUGGUACAAGCAGUCUGCCUUCACUGACAUACAGUGGCAUCUGGAAACCUCCCAAAGGCACUCCUAAUUAUCAUGCCUCCCAGCUCAUUCUGCUGUUCUCUGUGUAAAAAUGACAACCUGUAACUCACUGGAAGAAGCACACCAGCUACUCCCUUCUUUUCACAGACCCAGGCAGGCAACAACAACAGGAGAAUUAUCUAACUUCAUGUACCACCAUAUAUGGCUAGUGUACUGCAUUCUGCUUGGUAUCCCAUAGUAUGCAGAGAUGUACAAUAUCAAUUAAAAUGAAAAUAAAU